AACGAACGCUGGCGGCAUGCCUAACACAUGCAAGUCGAACGAGACCUUCGGGUCUAGUGGCGCACGGGGGCGUAACGCGGGGGAACCUGCCCUUAGGUUCGGAAUAACUCCCCGAAAGGGGUGCUAAUACCGGAUAAUGUCUUCGGACCAAAGAUUUAUCGCCUUUGGGUGGGCCCGCGUUGGAUUAGCUAGUUGGUAGGGUAAAAGCCUACCAAGGCGACGAUCCAUAGCUGGUCUGAGAGGAUGAUCCGCCACACUGGGACUGAGACACGGCCCAGACUCCUACGGGAGGCAGCAGUGGGGGAUAUUGGACAAUGGGCGAAGGCCUGAUCCAGCAAUGCCUCGUGAGUGAUGAAGGCCUUAGGGUUGUACAGCUCUUUUACCCGGGAUGAUAAUGACAGUACCGGGAGAAUAAGCUCCGGCUAACUCCGUG
rnacentral:rRNA from 1 species